UGGGGAAUAUUGGACAAUGGGCGCAAGCCUGAUCCAGCCAUGCCGCGUGAGUGAUGAAGGCCCUAGGGUUGUAAAGCUCUUUCACCGGUGAAGAUAAUGACGGUAACCGGAGAAGAAGCCCCGGCUAACUUCGUGCCAGCAGCCGCGGUAAUACGAAGGGGGCUAGCGUUGUUCGGAUUUACUGGGCGUAAAGCGCACGUAGGCGGACUUUUAAGUCAGGGGUGAAAUCCCGGGGCUCAACCCCGGAACUGCCUUUGAUACUGGAAUUCUUGAGUAUGGUAGAGGUGAGUGGAAUUCCGAGUGUAGAGGUGAAAUUCGUAGAUAUUCGGAGGAACACCAGUGGCGAAGGCGGCUCACUGGACCAUUACUGACGCUGAGGUGCGAAAGCGUGGGGAGCAAACAGG
rnacentral:rRNA from 1 species